rnacentral:rRNA from 1 species
UACGAAGGGGCGAGCGUUGUUCGGAAUUACUGGGCGUAAGGCGCGCAGGCGGCCUUAGAAGUCAGAUGUGAAAGCCCGGGCUCAACCUGGGAAUGGCAUUUGAUACUCUGAGGCUGGAGUACGGGAGAGGAGAGUGGAAUUCCCAGUGUAGAGGUGAAAUUCGUAGAUAUUGGAAGAACACCGGUGGCGAAGGCGGCUACUCUGGACCGUAACUGACGCUGAGGCGCGAAAGCGUGGGAGCAACA